GGAAGUGAGGGCAAUCUGGCUACAACUUCUAUCACCCCAUUGAUUUCAGGGUUGAUGUGGCUGAUCCGGCUGGCUAGGCCAAUGUCUCCUUUCUCCUCCCUCACUGCUCCAUGUGCAUCCCUCCUGAAGGUUCAUGCUCAAGGGGGUGGUGUGAAGUGGAUGACCUUCCCCAGUAGAGGAGGACCGGAGGACAGAUCUUCCAUCAAGGGUAUAGGAAUUGCGGUGCUUUCCUGCUAGACCCUCCAAACAAGCUCUCAAGGUCCAUUUGCAGGAGAAUGUAGUGAAGCUUCCAAGACUCCAGACAUAUCCAAAUGCGUUGCUGCAUGUGGCGGCCUGCCNNNNNNN
ensembl:misc_RNA 7SK 7SK RNA